GGAGGGAAGUUUGUGUGUGAGUUCUUUGUUCUUCGUCUUGUGUCUGACCCUCUCGGCUCUGAGAGUGAUCUUUGUGUCUCCUGGCUUUUUAAUCUCUGUUUCCAAGUUCUAUAUCAAAAGCCAGCUGUACACUGGAAAAAGGUAUUUUGGAACUACUUGAGUUACUGCUUCCAACAAGAUAAAAAACUCAUCAGCUGAAAAUAUAACAACUCAGAUACUUGUCAGGGUUUAUUUUAGUACAUGCUGCACUGAUCAAUUUCUUAAGUAUGCUUGAAUUCACAUCUCCAGGAUUUCCUAAUUGGCACUUACUGCUUGAACAGUGCAAACCCAAACAGAUCAAAGUGAUGUGUGACAAAAAUGUUCAAGGCACAAUGAAGCACUUGUGUAAGCCAAGCCAAGAACACUUGGAGUAGUACAGUGGGAAAGCAGGAAACAAGAGCUGAAAACUGAAGCAAAGGUGGCAAGAAAUGAAAUAAAAUUAGACUGAUAGGACUGCAUUAUGAGGAGAAAAUGGGAGAACAACCAGAAGUUGCAACUUCAGGUUGUUCCAUUCCCAAUUAGACAGAGAUUAGGCAUGUCAAAUUGCUGCUUUUUAUUUACAGUAGAAGAGCAUGUUGCUCAUAUAUAUCCAAACAGUGGUACUAGUUAUAGCCAGCUUUAUUAGAUGUUUGAAGUUUUACAUGCUUUAGUUUUGAGACAACAUCAACCACUACUUUUGACAAAUGCUACUUAAGCUGGAACUUUCAGUUAUCUACCUCAACAUACCACAGUACUGUACUACCAAAGUCGGCUUUAUAUUGCAUUUGACUCUUAUUUUAUCACUUAGAUGCACGGUUGGGGAAAAUCAGUGAUUUUAGAGUAAACCGCAUACAAAGACAAAACUUGGAGCAAAGCAAGGUUUAUUAGAGACAAAAUCACACAAGCACUGCUGGUGACAGAGAUGUACAUUGUAGGCAAUUCCAUAAUACAAGACCAAGAGAUCAAAGUUAAUAGCAAGUACAUUUAAAAGAAGAGGAAAUACACCUAUGCGCAGCCUGCUGCAGAACAGAGCGGUGCAGACGCUGAGGCCUGGUCUACCCCGGAAACUCAGAUCGACCCAGCUACGGAGCUCAGGGCUAUGAAGAAAUCUACCCCCGCCCCGACUGCAGCCACGCCACCUAGCCCGGGUGUAGACGCAGCUAAGGGCAGCCACACUGGGCCCCCCGGCUCCGACUCCCCCAUCCCGCGAA